ensembl:lncRNA
GUUAUGUGUUUGAUGGCAAUUGGUAAAAUAUAUAAUCAUUUUGUAUAAAAGUGGCACAGUAAACAGGAACAUAACAAAAAGCAAACUAAAAGUAAGUUUAAAACAAGACAUAAACAUGGCACAAUUGACAUUGCUCUGAAAGGAAGUGGAAGACUUUGUGGUGCGUGAUCUAAUGAUAAACUUUAAAAGUUGUCCAUAAACACAGAAGAGGAGAAGUGACCUUUCUGCUGUGUUGUGAUUUCACAUCAAUCUUGUGACCUGUCCAGCUCUAACUAAUACCGUUGUGAUAUUAUAUUAAUCUGCUUUGAAAGAAUAACCAGUAUUAGUGGGAGGCACCAAAUUACCGUUGUCCAGAAACUCACCUGUGUCUGUGCCACUCUCUUAGUUUUGUUUUUACUGAACUAUCACAUCUCACUAAACAUGCUGUGAUGUAUGAAGACGUCCAGACACUCCCGCAGAAUUUUUAACAUGUUCAAACGCUUGAGUCUGAUGCUGCUGCUGCUGUGCCAGUUCAGUUACAGCGGAUCCAUCACUAGAUCUGUGAAAGGAAUAAAGGGAGGCAACGCCACCCUGUCAUGUCAAUUUGAAGCCAAAGACAUUCAUUAUAUUGAUCUAAGCAGGUUAACAAGCAUCCUUUCUUGUCAGAAUGAAGAAUGUGAAAGUGAAAGUGAAAGUCAGAAUGGGAGAGUAUUUAAAACAGGAUCAUGUGCCGUGAUUAUCAAGAAUCUGAGACUGAGUGAUGCUGGGAAAUACAUUUUAAGAGUCUAUUACACUAAUACUCAGGCAGAAGUGAAGCGUCAAAUCAUGACAUACCGACUUCAUUUUCAGGAUGAGAUUUCAGUGAAGGAAGGGGCGGAGCUGAAGUUGGACGUUCUGUUGCCCAAUGCUUAUAAAGUAGUGCACUGGACCAAAAGAAGCACAGGACGGAAGGAGGACUGGAAUAGAAGCCUUGGGGUCAGAAGUGAUCGAAUGACCAUCAGAGAUGGAAACCUAAUUAUUAAUAAUUUUACAGCCACUGAUGCAGGAACAUAUGAGGUUCUGGACACUGUGGGAGAAAUCCUGAUCAUGGUGACUGUCACAGGUGAGAGAAGAAAUAUAAUUAUAAAGCAUUUCAUGAUCAUGAUUUGA